GGGAGUGUGGUUCUAACUGGUAGAAUAGGUGUUCGCCAGACAUCAGGUUAUCGGUUCGAAUCCGAUCACUUCCA
rnacentral:tRNA from 1 species